AUUGAACGCUGGCGGCAGGCCUAACACAUGCAAGUCGAGCGGAUGAAGGGAGCUUGCUCCUGUCUUCCGCGGCGGACGGGUGAGUAAUGCCUAGGAAUCUGCCUUGUCGUGGGGGAUAACGUCCGUAAACGGGCGCUAAUACCGCAUACGUCCUGAUGGAGAACGUGGGGGAUCUUCGGACCUCACGCUAUCAGAUGAGCCUAGGUCGGAUUAGCUAGUUGGUGGGGUAAAGGCCUACCAAGGCGACGAUCCGUAACUGGUCUGAGAGGAUGAUCAGUCACACUGGAACUGAGACACGGUCCAGACUCCUACGGGAGGCAGCAGUGGGGAAUAUUGGACAAUGGGCGAAAGCCUGAUCCAGCCAUGCCGCGUGUGUGAAGAAGGUCUUCGGAUUGUAAAGCACUUUAAGUUGGGAGGAAGGGCAGUAAGUUAAUACCUUGCUGUUUUGACGGUACCAACAGAAUAAGCACCGGCUAACUUCGUG
rnacentral:rRNA from 1 species